rnacentral:rRNA from 1 species
UACGUAGGGUGCGAGCGUUAAUCGGAAUUACUGGGCGUAAAGCGUGCGCAGGCGGUUUUGUAAGCCAGAUGUGAAAUCCCCGGGCUUAACCUGGGAAUGGCAUUUGGGACUGCAAGGCUUGAGUGCGGCAGAGGGGGGUAGAAUUCCACGUGUAGCAGUGAAAUGCGUAGAUAUGUGGAGGAAUACCGAUGGCGAAGGCAGCCCCCUGGGAUAACACUGACGCCUCAUGCACGAAAGCGUGGGGAGCAAACAGG